AUCUUUUUGUAGUUCAUAAGCAUGAUAAUUGGACUUUUAGGCUCAUGUGUGAGAUGUACCUCCCUGAAACCUUGUUAUGAUGUUGACACAUUACCCGUCUGACA